rnacentral:rRNA from 1 species
AACGUAGGUGGCAAGCGUUAUCCGGAUUUACUGGGCGUAAAGCGUGCGCAGGCGGUUUUGCAAGACAGAUGGGAAAUCCCCGGGCUUAACCUGGGAACCGCAUUUGUGACUGCAUAGCUGGAGUACGGCAGAGGGGGAUGGAAUUCCGCGUGUAGCAGUGAAAUGCGUAGAUAUGCGGAGGAACACCGAUGGCGAAGGCAGUCCCCUGGGCCUGUACUGACGCUCAUGCACGAAGGCGUGGGGAGCAAACAGG